rnacentral:sRNA from 1 species
AGGUGAGAUGGAGCUGGCUGCAUGUUCUGUCACUCCAUUGUUCACCUGGGUAAAAGCAGUAAGAGCUGGUUGGCCAAACAUCUCCCUUCCUACUUUUCUACCCCAUUUUCAUCUUGCUGAAAGCUCCACCAGUAGGUCAAACAAUGUAAUUCUCUAGUACAGAAGAGGACCAUUUGUCAGUCAACAGUGGAGAACAGCCUUAGAUGGCUACUUAACCUUCCCAAACCUUAGUUUUCUACUAACUUAUAAAACGAGAAUAUUUUAUUUUGCAGGCCUUU